GUCGCAGGCAUUGAAAAGGGAAUCGGGUGAGAAGCCCGAACAGACGCGCUGCCGUAAGUUUCAAACCAAACUCUUCUAUCUCUCAAGCCACUGAGACACUCUCUCGGGAAGGCAGAAGAGCGAAACGAGUCGGAAGACCUGCCAUGACAACC
rnacentral:ncRNA from 1 species